UGCGUAGGUGGCAGUGCAAGUCAGAUGUGAAAGGCCGGGGCUCAACCCCGGAGCUGCAUUUGAAACUGCUCGGCUAGAGUACAGGAGAGGCAGGCGGAAUUCCUAGUGUAGCGGUGAAAUGCGUAGAUAUAUGGAGGAACACCGGUGGCGAAAGCGGCUCUCUGGUCUGUAACUGACACUGAGGCUCGAAAGGCGUGGGAGCAAACA
rnacentral:rRNA from 1 species